rnacentral:rRNA from 1 species
UGGCCUUUUGGGGCAUGUGCACACCCUGAUCUAACCUCUCUCACACCUGUGCACAACCUGUAGCUUGGGAUGAUUACAGAGCUGGAAACAGCAUUGAAAGCCCUUGCUAUGAAUUUUUACAUACGCAUAUAAAGUUAUAGAAUGUACAAAGUUAUAUAUAAGCGUGUAAAAGCGUGAAUAAAUACAACUUUCAGCAACGGAUCUCUUGGCUCUCGCAUCGAUGAAGAACGCAGCGAAAUGCGAUAAGUAAUGUGAAUUGCAGAAUUCAGUGAAUCAUCGAAUCUUUGAACGCACCUUGCGCCCCUUGGUAUUCCGAGGAGCAUGCCUGUUUGAGUGUCAUGAAAAUUCUCAACUGCUUCAAUUUUUUGAAGUGAAGUUGGAUUUGGAGGAUUAUUGCUGGCGUAAUGACUUUGGUUGUUGCUUGUUAGCUCCUCUUAAAUAAAUGAACUUUCUAGUAGAUCAUGGCAAAGUAACACUAAUGUGAUAAUUAUCUACAUUAGAUGUGAAAGUCCUUGAGCAGAAGGGAAAUCCUUCCUAUAGGAAAGGUUGAUGGUGUUGAUAAAUUUGACCUCAAAUCAGGUAGGACUACCCGCUGAACUUAAGCAUAUCAAUAAGCGGAGGAAAAGAAACUAACAAGGAUUCCCCUAGUAACUGCGAGUGAAGCGGGAAAAGCUCAAAUUUAAAAUCUGGCAUGCCUUUGGCUGUCCGAGUUGUAGUCUGGAGAAGUGUUUUCCGCGUUGGACCGUGUACAAGUCCCUUGGAACAGGGCGUCAUAGAGGGUGAGAAUCCCGUCUUUGACACGGACUACCAGUGCUUUGUGAUGCGCUCUCAAAGAGUCGAGUUGUUUGGGAAUGCAGCUCAAAAUGGGUGGUAAAUUCCAUCUAAAGCUAAAUACAGGCGAGAGACCGAUAGCGAACAAGUACCGUGAGGGAAAGAUGAAAAACACUUUGGAAAGAGAGUUAAUAGUACGUGAAAUUGCUGAAAGGGAA